UUUUCACUUUUUAAUAACACUAUAAGUCAGUUUAUACUCCUCACACACUUUUGAUUCCCCCAAUACACGCUUUUACAUCUUCCAACUCACAAAAUAAUCGAAAUCUAACUAAAGUCUAACUAAAUAUUAAAAUAUUAUUUAUUCAUCUCACCAUAGUUGCAGAAAAUACAAUAAACUCAUAUAUAUUGUGAAUCUCAAGCUUGAAGCAACAUAAAUCUAUGGUUGGUCGUCGUUUGCGAGUCUC
rnacentral:lncRNA from 1 species